AUGGUGACGGCCAGGCGUCGAGGCUACCCUUCCGAAGUGUACUGGUGGUGGUCGCCUGACGACCACUCGUCGAUGCAGAUCCCAGCACUCAGGAAGCUGCUGCACAUGAGCCCACAGACCAGCAUGGUCGUCCCGGAAUACGUCAACAACAAGCAGGAGGAGUACUACAUGUACACCUCCCCAGAUGAGAUAUCUUCGUUCCUCUUCGUCGACGUGUUUGGUCAGACCAGGCUGAACGUGUGGUCGCAGGACAACCAGGCCUGGCAUAGCAUCUACGUCGAGCCCGCCGAUCCCUGCAUCCCAUACGCCACAUGUGGACCGUUCACCAUCUGUACCGGCAACUCACACCCGCCAUGCGAGUGCAUGGAGAGCUUCUCCAGGACGUCGUCUUGGGAUUGGGAGCUCGGUGAUCGGACAGGAGGGUGCUCCAGAAACACUCAGCUGGAUUGCAAUGGCAACAGCAGUUCCACAGACGUGUUCCACCCCAUGGUUCGUGUGACAUUGCCAUAUGGUCCCCGGAGUUUACAGCAUGCUCCUGCAACUCGGAGCGAAUGUGAAGUGGCCUGUCUCAGCAACUGCUCCUGCUCUGCUUACUCCUACCAAGAUAGCAAAUGCUCUGUUUGGCAUGGGGAGUUGUUCAGUGUAAACAAGGAUGAUGGCAUCGAGAUCAGCUCUGAAUAUACUCUGUAUAUUCGCCUUGCCGCCGGAGAUGUUCUGAGUUCAACAAGAGAUAAAAGAAAACCAGCAGCUGGAGUUGUUAUUGCUACAAGCGUUAUCAGUUCUGGGUUGCUGAUGCUCAUGCUGCUACUAGUGAUCUUGCGGAACAGAUUCAACUGGUGUGGUGUGCCAUCACAGGCCACCAAUCAAGGUAGUGUUGGAGUUGUUGCCUUUAGAUACGCCGAUUUGGGCUGUGCUACAAAGAAUUUCUCACUGAAGCUAGGAGCAGGAGGUUUUGGGACUGUAUUUAAGGGAGUUCUAAGUGACCUGACUAGUGUAGCAGUCAAAAGGCUUGAAGGUGCCCGUCAGGGUGAGAAGCAAUUCAGGGCAGAGGUAAGUGCACUUGGACUGAUCCAGCACAUCAACCUGGUCAAAUUGGUUGGUUUCUGUUGUCAUGGUGAUAAGAGGCUACUUGUAUAUGAACACAUGUGCAAUGGUUCUCUUGAUUCCCAUCUGUUCCAGAGCAAUGGUACAGUCCUCAACUGGAGCACCAGAUAUCAGAUAGCCAUCGGAGUUGCUAGAGGACUGUCCUACCUGCAUCAGAGUUGCCGCGAAUGCAUCAUACACUGCGAUAUCAAGCCAGAAAAUGUACUUCUCGAUGAAUCGUUUGUCCCUAAAAUUGCAGACUUUGGGUUGGCAUCGGUCAUAGGAAGGGAUUUUAGCCGGGUUCUAACUACAUUCAGGGGAACUACAGGGUAUCUUGCCCCAGAGUGGCUUAGCGGUGUUGCUAUUACAUCAAAAGUGGAUGUUUACAGCUUUGGCAUGGUACUGAUGGAAAUCAUAUCGGGAAGAAGGAAUGCGUCUGUUGUGAACACUAGCAGCAACAACCAUGUCGUUUUUUUCCCUGUGCGAGCCAUCAGCAAGCUUCAUGAGGGAGAUGUGCAGAGCUUGGUAGAUCCAGAAUUAUAUGGUGACUUCAGCUUGGAUGAGGUUGAAAGGGUUUGCAACGUAGCAUGUUGGUGUAUCCAGGCUAAUGAGUUGGACCGGCCAACAAUGGGUGAAGUGGUCAGAGUUCUUGAGGGUCUAAUGGAGCUUGAUAUUCCUCCGAUGCCGAGACUGCUUGCGGCUAUAACAACAUAA
rnacentral:rRNA from 1 species